rnacentral:pre_miRNA from 1 species
AUAGUACUCCCUCCGUUCCGAAUUACUUGUCUUGGAUUUGUCUAGAUACGGAGGUAUCUAGCACUAAAAUGAGUCUAGAUACAUCCGUAUCUAGACAAAUCCAAGACAAGUAAUUCGGAACGGAGGGAGUACCUC